rnacentral:rRNA from 1 species
AUUGAACGCUGGCGGCAGGCCUAACACAUGCAAGUCGAGCGGAACGGUGGACGGGUGAGUAAUGCCUACGAAUCUGCCUGGUGGUGUGGGAUAACGUCCGGAAACGGGCGAUAAUACCGCAUACUAUCAGAUGAGCCUAGGUCGGAUUAGCUAGUUGGUGGGGUAAAGGCCUACAAGGGCGACGAUCCGUACCUGGUCUGAGAGGCUGAUCAGUAACACGGGAACGGGGACAGGGUCCGGACUCCUACGGAGGAAGGCGGGGGGGAAUAUUGGACAAUGGGCGAAAGCCUGAUCCAGCCAUGCCGCGUGUGUGAAGAAGGUCUUCGGAUGGUAAAGCACUUUAAGUUGGGAGGCGUUACCAACAGAAUAAGCACCGGCUAACUUCGUGCCAGCAGCCGCGGUAAUAC